rnacentral:rRNA from 1 species
GACGAACGCUGGCGGCGUGCUUAACACAUGCAAGUCGAACGGAAGGGCCCUGCUUUUGUGGGGUGCUCGAGUGGCGAACGGGUGAGUAACACGUGAGUAACCUGCCCUUGACUUUGGGAUAACUUCAGGAAACUGGGGCUAAUACCGGAUAGGAGCUCCUGCUGCAUGGUGGGGGUUGGAAAGUUUCGGCGGUUGGGGAUGGACUCGCGGCUUAUCAGCUUGUUGGUGGGGUAGUGGCUUACCAAGGCUUUGACGGGUAGCCGGCCUGAGAGGGUGACCGGCCACAUUGGGACUGAGAUACGGCCCAGACUCCUACGGGAGGCAGCAGUGGGGAAUAUUGCACAAUGGGCGGAAGCCUGAUGCAGCAACGCCGCGUGCGGGAUGACGGCCUUCGGGUUGUAAACCGCUUUCGCCUGUGACGAAGCGUGAGUGACGGUAAUGGGUAAAGAAGCACCGGCUGACUACGUG